GAAAUGUCGCAUUAAUUGUACUAACGAUCUUGUCUAUCCAUUAAACAAUUGCUCCUCUUCAUCUGUUGUUCAUCACGCCAGCUUCUAAAUGCCACUCAAAGAAACUUAUGUCCUUAUUAUGUGAUAGUGACUCAUGAUUUUGGCAGAGAAUUAUAUAAUUAUGGAUAUCGUUUUGACACUUAUAUGUACUGGAAUCAACACGUUGUGUCUUUAUACCAUCAUUAUAAACAUACACUACAUGACUGAUGAUUUUGUAAUAUUGCAAAAACGCCAGGAUUCAGGAUGCAUAAAGUUUGAACUAGUUUUGCCCUCCUUUCAGCAUGUGCAUGACAUCACAGAAGAGGGGAUUUCCCACACAAUUCUAAACUGCAAAGUGAUGUAUUUCUAUCUUCUUUCAAUAUCAAAGUGAGGAUUGUAGAGGAGGGACAUAUAUUUUACGAUUUAACGAUGGCUAGGUCGAAGGUUUACUAGACAAAACGACAAAAGUCAGACUAUUUUUUCCAUAAAAAAACAGAGAGAACUUUAUGUCUUCCUUUAUGACAGAUAUCAGCCCUUUGGAGAUAUUUUGAGUAUUUGCGAAGUUAUGACCUCUCGAAUUAUGU